UUCCCUGCCGCUGCCCGGCCUCCUCCUUCCACCCCUCCGGCCAGCUCCUCUCCCGCUCGCGCCGCCUCCUCCUCCCAACCAGUGCCUCCCUCUCCUCCUUCCCCGCCUUCGCCUGGCCUCCUCCUUCCGCCCCUCGAUCUGGCGCCGCCCAAACCCUAACACCCCGCCCCGGCCCUGGGUCAUCCACCGCCUCCACCGCCGGCAGGAAGGCGCCGCAGCGGCCGUCGCGCAGCCCGACGAGCAGGAGCUCCCCGGCGAGCAGCCGUUCCCGUACUAGAAGAGGGUGCAGGGCAAUCCCGCGCCUCCAGCCCCUGCUUCACGUACGACCGCUGGUGUGGGAGCAGCCUUCGGUGGUGAGGAGGCCCAGAGCAACACGGCCAACGUUGGCGCUGGUGCUCCCCAGUGCAACCACUCCGACGACGGCCAGGAUGUUGCUGUCUCCCAUCCGAUUGAUUUCUCUCCAUUAGAUUGGCCCUGGCUAGAUAGGGAAAGGGGGCCGACGGCGGCGCGAGGAGAGAUCCAAGUGUACAAUUUCUUGCUAAAUUAGAGGAAUAUGAAGCAGAAAAUAUAAUGUUGGUCCAUAGAACCCUACUUUUUCAUUCGUUCACUGGUAAGUCUACUUCCCUCUAUGUAUGGUAACACACAUUAUAUCAUUUCAUUGGGUCAUACUUAAUACAUGACACCAUGAAGCAUUUAUAUGAAACAGAUCAAUUUGUGUGUUCACCAUCGUCUGCAAUUUUCACAGUUUACAGUUGCUUGAUCAUUGAUUUUUUCCUUUGGACAAACAAGUUCUCCCUCAUUUUAGCAAUUAUUUAUCAAAAUGGCGUGUGUUU